CGAGCAUGAUAUGGAAAUACCUAAGAAAGGCCUAUGUUUGGCAGGAAGCUGAUCUUCGGCAGAUCCAGUAGCGAAGAAUCACAAACAUCUAUAUGACGAAAAUUGCGCGGACGUAGGAGCAUAAAAUUUGGUACACUUAUAGUUUAUGUGUAGGAGAAGUGCAGAACGCUAAUAUUUUUCAUAAAUAAUGCUUAUAAAGUACAUUAAUAAUCAAUAAAUAAAUAAAUCAAUAAAUAAAACAUUACACACACUACCAUGCAUAGUAGGGGAAGGUAGGGUAAUUGAGAACGGCGGGUAAUUGGGAACACGUUGAUAAGUCCCACUUCCCCUCCCCGUAUCCCGUCUCGCGGCUAUUCGAGGUAUGCUUCCCCCGCCCCUAAGUGCGCAAGCGACAGUGGGAGCUGGAGGAUGCACGCAUCUUGACACGAUGAGGCGAGACGUUGAUGCAGCCAGACUGAACCAGACACCACCAGUUCAAAUAUCAGAUUCACAUGACCACGAUAAAGCUUUGGGCACAUGUGCAAUGCACUUCCAGAGAGACCAGCAAAAGUUACGUGUGUGAUAUGUGUCAUGAAAUGAAAAAAUAUUUUUUCCGUUAUAAGCAGACAGAUAAAUAAUGUUUUUAAGUUUUAAUAAAAGUUGAUUCCUUUUUUAAGAGAAAAUACUGUUUUUUGCCUUUUAAGUUAAGUGUUCCCAAUUCCCCCACCUUCCCCUAUCGUAUUUGACAAAACGUCAAAUUGACAGACAUUGCGAUGAUAUU